rnacentral:rRNA from 1 species
UAUGGCUGUACCACCCUGAAUACGCCCGAUCUCGGCUGAUCUCGGCAGUUAAGCAGGGUCGGGCCUGGUUAGUACUUGGAUGGGAGACAAGCAUGUGACACCCUGUCCUGCUCUAU